rnacentral:tRNA from 1 species
AUUUAAGUAGUUUAAUCAAAAAUAGAGAUUUGUGGAAUCUUUGAUGUUUAUUGUAACCUUAAGUU